AACGAACGCUGGCGGCGCGCCUAACACAUGCAAGUCGAACGCGAAAGUGUAGCAAUACAUGAGUAAAGUGGCGCACGGGUGAGUAACACGUAGGUGAUCUACCUUUGUGAUCGGGAUAACCAGUCGAAAGAUUGGCUAAUACCGGAUAGAGCGCAUGACUCGUAAAGGGUUGUGCGGGAAAAGGAGGCGUAGCAAUACGCUUUUGCACUGAGAUGAGCCUGCGUCUCAUUAGCUAGUUGGUAGGGUAAUGGCCUACCAAGGCAUUGAUGGGUAGCUGGUCUGAGAGGACGAUCAGCCACACUGGAACUGAACACGGUCCAGACUCCUACGGGAGGCAGCAGUGGGAAUCUUGCGCAAUGGACGAAAGUCUGACGCAGCGACGCCGCGUGGGUGAAGAA
rnacentral:rRNA from 1 species